CAACACUCCAGCAGCCAAUCCCCACGGAACGACAGGAAAUGUGGGAAGAUCCUGAUAGCUUUCAUAGCUGCACCGUAAGGGUUAUGAAACACGCUCCUCGGCCAAAUGAGCCCAUGCCGACUCUCCUCCCCGCCGCAGAGCCAGGCGGUUGGCUAAGAGCGCCUUGCUGGUCCGAUUUGCUCUCCAGGUGCUUGAAGGGGGAAAGCGGGAACAAGUAUAAAAUGUCCCUGUCUCAUGACCCUGUCAGGGUCUCAGGGAAAUGAACCUGUGGAAGACAAUGGAACAUCCUAGCAAGUGAGGCAAAAGGUUCCUGAGUUUGGGGAAGACCACUGCCACCCACUGGCCCCAUCAGAGGGAGCAUCUCUUCAAGUCCCCUGUUCCUGCUGGGAACGUUCAAGGACAGUAAACAUGCUUUCUAGGACUGGAGGGGUCUGAAAACCAGAUUUGUUCCAGGUAAGUGAAAUUUUACUUUAGGUUCUAAGAAAUCUAAAGAACAACAACAAAAAAAACCCAUGACGUUGCCCUCCAAGGAACACCCAUCACCAGGUGGUAGGGUAGGUGCCACAAGUGGAUGUC
rnacentral:lncRNA from 1 species